CAAGUCGUGGGGCAGCAUGAAGUAGCAAUACUUUGAUGGCGACCGGCAAACGGGUGCGGAACACGUACACAACCUUCCUUUUAGUGGGGAAUAGCCCAGAGAAAUUUGGAUUAAUACCCCGUAACAUAGCGAUGAGGCAUCUCAUUGCUAUUAUAGCUUCGGCGCUAGAUGAUGGGUGUGCGUAUGAUUAGAUAGUUGGCGAGGUAACGGCUCACCAAGUCUACGAUCAUUAGCUGAUGUGAGAGCAUGAUCAGCCACACGGGCACUGAGACACGGGCCCGACUCCUACGGGAGGCAGCAGUAAGGAAUAUUGGUCAAUGGACGAAAGUCUGAACCAGCCAUGCCGCGUGAAGGAUUAAGGUCCUCUGGAUUGUAAACUUCUUUUAUAUGGGACGAAAAAAGGUUUUUCUAGAUCACUUGACGGUACCAUAUGAAUAAGCACCGGCUAACUCCGUGCCAGCAGCCGCGGUAAUACGGAGGGUGCAAGCGUUAUCCGGAUUCACUGGGUUUAAAGGGUGCGUAGGCGGGUAGGUAAGUCAGUGGUGAAAUCCUGGAGCUCAACUCCAGAACUGCCAUUGAUACUAUCUAUCUUGAAUAUUGUGGAGGUAAGCGGAAUAUGUCAUGUAGCGGUGAAAUGCUUAGAUAUGACAUAGAACACCCAUUGCGAAGGCAGCUUACUACGCAUAUAUUGACGCUGAGGCACGAAAGCGUGGGGAUCAAACAGGAUUAGAUACCCUGGUAGUCCACGCCCUAAACGAUGGAUACUCGACAUACGCGAUACACUGUGUGUGUCUGAGCGAAAGCAUUAAGUAUCCCACCUGGGAAGUACGUUCGCAAGAAUGAAACUCAAAGGAAUUGGCGGG
rnacentral:rRNA from 1 species